rnacentral:rRNA from 1 species
CGUAGGUGGCAAGCGUUGUCCGGAUUUAGUUGGGUUUAAAGGGUGCGUAGGCGGUUCCAUAAGUCAGUGGUGAAAUACAAUAGCUUAACUAUUGAGGUGCCAUUGAUACUGCGGAACUUGAGUACAGACGAGGUAGGCGGAAUUGACGGUGUAGCGGUGAAAUGCUUAGAUAUCGUCAAGAACACCGAUAGCGAAGGCAGCUUACUAGACUGUAACUGACGCUGAGGCACGAAAGUGUGGGGAUCAAACAGGAUUAGAUACCCUGGUAGUCCACACUGUAAACGAUGAUUACUCGAUGUUGGCGAUACACAGCCAGCGUCUUAGCAAAAGCGAUAAGUAAUCCACCUGGGGAGUACGCCGGCAACGGUG